rnacentral:lncRNA from 1 species
GAGUGCUUCCUUUCCUUCGUGCUGUGCCACCAUGUGGAAUACAGAGCCAAUUUAGAUGGCAAUAUGCGCUGUUUGAUAUGAAGUGCAACACCUGGCACCCAGGACUGCCUUCAGUUCCUGAGGAUGGAGGUUAAGGAGAACAGAGGGCUGCAAAUUACCAACAGCAAAGGGAAGAACUGCAAGCAAUGAAUAACGAGAAGCAAAUAUUUGGUCAGGCACACAAACACAGGC